UACGUAGGGGGCAAGCGUUGUCCGGAAUCAUUGGGCGUAAAGAGCGCGUAGGCGGCCCGUUUUGUCAGGCGUGAAAGCCCUGGGCUCAACCUGGGAACUGCGCUUGGGACGGAUGGGCUUGAGAUCGGGAGAGGAGAGUGGAAUUCCCAGUGUAGAGGUGAAAUUCGUAGAUAUUGGGAAGAACACCGGUGGCGAAGGCGGCUCUCUGGACCGACACUGACGCUGAGGCGCGAAAGCGUGGGGAGCAAACAGG
rnacentral:rRNA from 1 species